CUGCUGCCUCCCGUAGGAGUUUGGGCCGUGUCUCAGUCCCAAUGUGGCCGUUCACCCUCUCAGGCCGGCUACUGAUCGUCGCUUUGGUAGGCCGUUACCCUGCCAACUGGCUAAUCAGACGCGGGUCCAUCUCAUACCACCGGAGUUUUUACCACUGCACCAUGCAGUGCUGUGGUCUUAUGCGGUAUUAGCAGUCAUUUCUAACUGUUAUCCCCCUGUAUGAGGCAGGUUACCCACGCGUUACUCACCCGUCCG
rnacentral:rRNA from 1 species